ACAUCAGCCAUCAACACGAGAUUGAGUUGAGGAGGACAACUAUUCCAAAUCUUCAAAGUAUCAUUGCAAGAGGCUCCAGUCUUCGCAAGCCAAUCGGCACAUUCAUUACCCUCUCUAAGAGUAUGCUGAAAAGAAACAUUUCAAUCCCCCUGGUGAAGAUGACGAAUUUGUUGGAUAAGCGGUGCAUAAGAGUGAAAGUGAGAAGUUCCAUGAGAAGCAAAAUUAACUGUUAGAGUGGAAUCUGAUUCAAUGAUAAUAUUUCUAAGUCCUUUAGUUUGAGCAAUCUUG
rnacentral:lncRNA from 1 species